GAUGAACGCUAGCGGCAGGCUUAAUACAUGCAAGUCGAGGGGCAGCAUGAACGUAGCAAUACAUUUGAUGGCGACCGGCAAACGGGUGCGGAACACGUACACAACCUUCCUAUAAGUGGGGAAUAGCCCAGAGAAAUUUGGAUUAAUACCCCGUAACAUAAUGAUGUGGCAUCACAUUAUUAUUAUAGCUUCGGCGCUUAUUGAUGGGUGUGCGGCUGAUUAGAUAGUUGGCGGGGUAACGGCCCACCAAGUCUACGAUCAGUAGCUGAUGUGAGAGCAUGAUCAGCCACACGGGCACUGAGACACGGGCCCGACUCGUACGGGAGGCAGCAGUAAGGAAUAUUUGUCAAUGGACGCAAGUCGGAACCAGCCAUGCCGCGUGAAGGAUUAAGGUCCUCUGGAUUGUAAACUUCUUUUAUCUGGGACGAAAAAAGGCUAUUCUUAGUCACUUGACGGUACCAGAUGAAUAAGCACCGGCUAACUCCGUGCCAGCCGCCGCAGUAAAAC
rnacentral:rRNA from 1 species